GAGUUUGAUCUUGGCUCAGAUUGAACGCUGGCGGCAUGCCUUACACAUGCAAGUCGAACGGCAGCAUGAUCUAGCUUGCUAGAUUGAUGGCGAGUGGCGAACGGGUGAGUAAUACAUCGGAACGUGCCCUGUAGUGGGGGAUAACUAGUCGAAAGAUUAGCUAAUACCGCAUACGACCUGAGGGUGAAAGUGGGGGACCGCAAGGCCUCAUGCUAUAGGAGCGGCCGAUGUCUGAUUAGCUAGUUGGUGGGGUAAAGGGCUCACCAAGGCGACGAUCAGUAGCUGGUCUGAGAGGACGAUCAGCCACACUGGGACUGAGACACGGCCCAGACUCCUACGGGAGGCAGCAGUGGGGAAUUUUGGACAAUGGGCGAAAGCCUGAUCCAGCAAUGCCGCGUGUGUGAAGAAGGCCUGG
rnacentral:rRNA from 1 species